CACGUAGGGUGCGAGCGUUGUCCGGAAUUACUGGGCGUAAAGGGCUCGUAGGCGGCCAACUAAGUCAUACGUGAAAUCCCUCGGCUUAACCGGGGAACUGCGUCUGAUACUGGAUGGCUUGAGUUCGGGAGAGGGAUGCGGAAUUCCAGGUGUAGCGGUGAAAUGCGUAGAUAUCUGGAGGAACACCGGUGGCGAAGGCGGCAUCCUGGACCGAUACUGACGCUGAGGAGCGAAAGCCAGGGGAGCAAACGGG
rnacentral:rRNA from 1 species